GUAAACGGCGGCCGUAACUAUAACGGUCCUAAGGUAGCGAAAUUCCUUGUCGGGUAAGUUCCGACCUGCACGAAUGGUGUAACCAUGGCCACGCUGUCUCCACCCGAGACUCAGUGAAAUUGAAAUCGCAGUGAAGAUGCUGUGUACCCGCGGCUAGACGGAAAGACCCCGUGAACCUUUACUACAGCUUGGCACUGAACAUUGAACCUACAUGUGUAGGAUAGGUGGGAGACUUUGAAGCAGCGACGCUAGUUGUUGUGGAGUCGUCCUUGAAAUACCACCCUUGUAGUUUUGAUGUUCUAACGUUGGCCCCUGAAUCGGGGUUACGGACAGUGCCUGGUGGGUAGUUUGACUGGGGCGGUCUCCUCCCAAAGAGUAACGGAGGAGCACGAAGGUUGGCUAAGUACGGUCGGACAUCGUACGGUUAGUGUAAUGGUAGAAGCCAGCUUAACUGCGAGACAGACACGUCGAGCAGGUACGAAAGUAGGUCAUAGUGAUCCGGUGGUUCUGAAUGGAAGGGCCAUCGCUCAACGGAUAAAAGGUACUCCGGGGAUAACAGGCUGAUACCGCCCAAGAGUUCAUAUCGACGGCGGUGUUUGGCACCUCGAUGUCGGCUCAUCACAUCCUGGGGCUGAAGUCGGUCCCAAGGGUAUGGCUGUUCGCCAUUUAAAGUGGUACGCGAGCUGGGUUUAGAACGUCGUGAGACAGUUCGGUCCCUAUCUGCCGUGGGCGUUUGAGAAUUGAGAGGGGUUGCUCCUAGUACGAGAGGACCGGAGUGAACGAACCGCUGGUGUUCGGGUUGUCAUGCCAAUGGCAUUGCCCGGUAGCUACGUUCGGAACUGAUAAGCGCUGAAAGCAUCUAAGCGCGAAGCAGGCCUCGAGAUGAUUUCUCACUAGACUUUUAAAGUCUCUGAAGGGCCGUUGAAGACUACAACGUUGAUAGGCAAGAUGUGGAAGUGGUGUGAGCCAUUAAGCUAACUUGUACUAAUUACCCGUGAGGCUUAACCAUACAACGCCAAACGCGUUUUG
rnacentral:rRNA from 1 species